CUGUGGCUGGGUAACGCUAGUGCCCAUCCGUCAUGGCUGAUCUCUCCCCCCUCCUGGUAGGACCAUGACCACCAGAGUAUGAGGAGCUGUCUGAGGGUGAAGCCGCUGGAGAUACAGAAACGCCUGGAGGGGAAACGUCAGGAGCUGCUGGAGCACUGCUGGGGGGAGCUGCGGGGCAAGGACCCACAGAAACAGGAGGCCCUGGAGGAGCUGAAGCAGGAGCUGGACAGGCAGAUGGACAAGUUCCUGCUAGUCUACAAGGAGCGCUUUAAAAAGAUGGAGGUAAACAAGAGAGCAGCAGAAGACACCAGGAGGGACUACGAACAAUUUGUGCAGG
rnacentral:lncRNA from 1 species